rnacentral:rRNA from 1 species
GAAACUUAAAGGAAUUGGCGGGGGAGCACUACAACGGGUGGAGCCUGCGGUUUAAUUGGACUCAACGCCGGAAAACUCACCUGGGGCGACAGCAAUAUGUAGGUCAGGCUGAAGGUCUUACCUGAAUCGCUGAGAGGAGGUGCAUGGCCGUCGUCAGUUCGUACUGUGAAGCUUCCUGUUAAGUCAGGCAACGAGCGAGACCCGUGCCCCCUGUUGCCAGCAUAUCCUUCGGAAUGAUGGGAACUCUGUGGGGGACCGCUGGUGCUAACCCAGAGGAAGGUGCGGGCUACGGGUAGGUCAGUAUGCCCCGAAUCUCCAGGGCUACACGCGGGCCUACAAUGACCGGAACAUUGGGUUCCUAACCCCGAAAGGGGUUGGGAAAUUCUCAUAAACCCCGGCCUUAGUUCGAAUGGAGGGUUGCAAACUCGCCCCUCAUGAAGCUGGAAUCCGUAGUAAUUCGCGUUUUCAAUAUAGGGGGGGGGAAUACGUCCCUGGUUCUUUGCACACACCGCCCGUCAAACCACCCGAGUGAGGUAUGGGGUGAGGGGCACGGACCUAGUGCCGUGUUCGAACCUAAAUUUCGCAAGGGGGGUUUAAGUCGUAACAA